UCUAUAAAUCCGACUUUGGACGAAAUACAAGAAGUUCUCGUCUUAGCUGGCAAACACAUCACAGGACUUUCCAAAGGAGUAGCUCAGUGGACUGGAGGAAAAACGCAAAAGCCUUCUGAUCAACGCAAAGAUUCAGUACAGGUAGGUUGGAAGACAUUAGCAGGACACCAAACGAAACAACUUUUCGAAGUAGUUACCAAGCUUGACGGACAGGUACAGUCUUUUGCGGUACCGAUGACGAUGGCGCAGAAGUCGGUAAAGAUGGUUGAAGUUGCAAAAAUGAGAAAGAAAAAAUAUUACCGUCUGGAGUCAGAAGAGAAACCGAUUUUUCCAUUUCAACAGAAAAAUUUUUAC
rnacentral:misc_RNA from 1 species